rnacentral:rRNA from 1 species
UACGAAGGGUGCAAGCGUUACUCGGAAUUACUGGGCGUAAAGCGUGCGUAGGUGGUUCGUUAAGUCUGAUGUGAAAGCCCUGGGCUCAACCUGGGAAUGGCAUUGGAAACUGGCGACCUAGAGUGCGGUAGAGGGUAGUGGAAUUCCCGGUGUAGCAGUGAAGUGCGUAGAGAUCGGGAGGAACAUCCGUGGCGAAGGCGACUACCUGGACCAGCACUGACACUGAGGCACGAAAGCGUGGGGAGCAAACAGG